rnacentral:rRNA from 1 species
CCUACGGGAGGCAGCAGUGGGGAAUCUUGCGCAAUGGGCGAAAGCCUGACGCAGCAACGCCGCGUGCGGGAAGAAGGCUUUCGGGCUGUAAACCGCUUUCAGCAGGAACGAAAAUGACGGUACCCGCAGAAGAAGGAGCGGCCAACUAUGUGCCAGCAGCCGCGGUGAUACAUAGGCUUCAAGCGUUGUCCGGAUUUAUUGGGCGUAAAGAGUUCGUAGGCGGUCGAGUAAGUCGGGUGUGAAAAUUCUGGGCUCAACCCAGAGACGCCACCCGAUACUGCUUAACUUGAGUUCGAUAGGGGAGUGGGGAAUUCCUAGUGUAGCGGUGAAAUGCGCAGAUAUUAGGAGGAACACCGGUGGCGAAGGCGCCACUCUGGAUCGAUACUGACGCUGAGGAACGAAAGCAUGGGUAGCAAACAGGAUUAGAUACCCUGGUAGUCCAUGCCGUAAACGGUGGGCACUAGGUGUGGGAUUCUAUUAACGAAUUCCGCGCCGUCGCUAACGCAUUAAGUGCCCCGCCUGGGGAGUACGGUCGCAAGACUAAAACUUAAAGGAAUUGACGG